UACGGGGGGUGCGAGCGUUGUUCGGAAUUACUGGGCGUAAAGGGCGCGUAGGCGGCCAUCUAAGUCGGACGUGAAAUCCCUCGGCUUAACCGAGGAACUGCGUCCGAUACUGGAAGGCUUGAAUCCGGGAGAGGGAUGUGGAAUUCCAGGUGUAGCGGUGAAAUGCGUAGAUAUCUGGAGGAACACCGGUGGCGAAGGCGGCAUCCUGGACCGGCAUUGACGCUGAGGCGCGAAAGCUAGGGGAGCAAACGGG
rnacentral:rRNA from 1 species